rnacentral:rRNA from 1 species
CCUACGGUGCAGCAGUGGGGAAUAUUGCACAAUGGGGGAAACCCUGAUGCAGCGACGCCGCGUGAGUGAGGAAGUAUUUCGGUAUGGAAAGCUCUAUCAGCAGGGAAGAAAAUGACGGUAACUGACGAAGAAGCCACGGCUAACUACGUGCCAGCAGCCGCGGUAAUACGUAGGGGGCAAGCGUUAUCCGGAUUUACUGGGUGGAAAGGGAGCGUAGACGUAAUUGCAAGUCUGAUGUGAAAAUCCGGGGCCCAACCCCGGAACUGCAUUGGAAACUGUAUUUCAAGGGUGUCGGAGAGGCAAGUGGAAUUCCUGGUGUAGCGGUGAAAUGCGUAGAUAUCAGGAGGAACACCAGUGGCGAAGGCGGCUUGCUGGACGAUGACUGACGUUGCGGCUCGAAAGCGUGGGGAGCAAACAGGAUUAGAUACCCUGGUAGUC